AACGAACGCUGGCGGCAUGCCUAACACAUGCAAGUCGAACGAGACCUUCGGGUCUAGUGGCGCACGGGUGCGUAACGCGUGGGAACCUGCCCUUAGGCUCGGAAUAACUCCCUGUAAGGGGUGCUAAUACAGGAUAAUGUCCUCUGACACCAGAUUCAUCGCCUUUGGAUGGGCGCGCGUUGGAUUAGCUGGUUGGUAGGGUAAAAGCCUACCACGGCGUCGAUCCAUAGCUGGUCUGAGAGGAUGAUCAGCCACACUUGGACUAGGACACGGCCCAGACUCCUACGGGAUGCGGCAGUGGGGAAUAUUGGACAAUCGGCGGAGGGCUGAACCAGCAAGGCCGGGUGAGUGAUGAAGGCCUGAGAGUAGUAAAGCUCGUUUACCCGGGAUGAUAAUGACGGUACCGGGAGAAUAAGCACCGGCUAACUCCGUG
rnacentral:rRNA from 1 species